rfam:Aedes albopictus isolate Foshan contig160539, whole genome shotgun sequence.
UAAAAGGUCCUUUUCAGGACCAUCGAUAAUGAUUCCUCCAGAAUUAU